rnacentral:tRNA from 1 species
GGCGCCGAGUGGCCAGGUGCCCGUCUGCAAAACGGGCCAGUCGGGUUCGAAUCCCGACGGGACCU